AUUACCUCACAGAGUUGGAAUGCCUGGCAGGGAGAAUGUCAGCAAUGAACAGCUGCUUCACUGGCUGCGGGCUGCUACAGAAAUAGGGGCUACAACAAAUAGCAGGCAAUCCUUGCUUUUUUUAAUCAUAUGAUCAUUUAUUUUAAGCUUUUCCAAUUAAGGCACAUCUCUUACACACACACAAUAUAUAUAUAUAUAUCUGUUGAGCUUAUUAUUUUUAUUAUUAUUAUUUUUACACAGCUCUUGGAAGCAUUUUCAGGGUUUAAUUCAUACGUGCCACACUAAGUGACCUAUGCACAUACAUUAAUGCCUGCAGCUAAAAGCAGAAGUCCUUGCAAGGUUUCAGCUGUUGGUAAUAUACACAGCAAGAAAAUGCAGGCUUAAAGGCUGAUCCUUCAGUUCUUCCUCUCACAUCAAAACUCCCAAAGGCUCCAGUAGAAGGUAUGUCUUUAAUAACAACCAUCUUAUCGAGCAUUAAAGUAAUAUUUAUAGUUUAAUGAAUUCAAUCCUCAUAUAGGAGGCAAUAUCCCCUUCCCACAAAUACUCAAAAAAUAAUACAAAUAUACAAAAAAUAAACAAUUGUUGUAUGCUAUGUAGAAUGUCAUUCUCCACAUUACAUGAGCCAGGUAAAAGCAUAUACAAACUUGAAACAGGUGAGGGAUGAGGAAGAAGAUAAAGCAAACAUGCUACUGUCUGAGCAAGUCUAACUUGCAGACCUGCUAUGCAAACAGAAUGCUACUGAGGACACUAAUCGCAGCUGAAAUAUACAGGCAGUUUUGUACUAUGAUGAGUUCUUCAGAGUUAUUUCUCUCUGACACAACAGGUUUCCUCCAAUCAGGGGAAUUACCUCUUUUUUCUCCCACAUGUGAGCGAUAGUUACAAUGAAGAGUCCAUAGGCCAAGAUAAGAAUUCAUUCAGAGGAGUCUUAUACUGAAUAAAAUAAACUACUUUGAACUAAACUAAAUGGAUAUCCUUUUCUAAUAGUAUCUGUUAGAAGCCAGAACUAUGGUUACUUGCCUGAGAAAACUGAACAGUAUAAUGCAUGACAAAUCCAAACUGUGAAGAUUCAGGGUAACAAAAGCAACACCUCCUAUUUCUAAACAAUUCAUACUGGAAACGAAGUCUCAAUUCUCCUAUCUGCUUCAUUUCCUAUUCUAAAUUUUGAUCACACCAUUUUCCUGCCUGAUUCCCUGCCUGGAAGUUGCAUUAUUAGAAUUUUCUAACUUGGCAGAAUUACUUCUUCCUGUAUUUUCUCUUUGCAUGUUCAUCAAAGAAGGUGCAUCGUCUUAAAUACAGGUAGGACAUCGCUCAUAGGCUUCUCCACAGCUUACAUUUUCUCCUUUGAAGCUCAUCAAACCUUUACUCCUAAACUCCAUGUUUUUCUUCUGCUUUCUAUAAACCCUAGUUUGUAUCUUAACUCUGUGUUUAUCUGUAUUUUCUCCAUUUUGCCCUUUAUAUCUCAUAUUUUGCUCCAUCAGAUCUCAUUACAUGCUUUACCUAUCAUCUCUAACAAAUAGGACAAAGUGACAAUGGGAGUCCACGAGCACACAAUGAUCUCUGAUACAAGCACAUUAAUAAGACAUAGCCCGAUUGCCUCAGGGCACUAUACUGUGCUACUGCUGCUCCCCUUCAACUCCCAGUCUAUAUUUUCAUGGCAUGCAUAGUGAGAAAUACCCACAUCCCUUUCUUUGCUCUCCUUGAAUCUACAGAAGAGACUAACAUUGCAGCCCUCAUUCUAAAAGGGCACAGAAAAGUUUUUGCCUAUUGGGCUGAAUAAUGCCCUGUCAACAGGGUGAAGGUUGGUGCAAACAUUCACCUUGUUCAGAUUCCAAGAACUUUGUUUUCCAUCAGGUCUUUACAGACUAAAAGAAGGAAACUUCAGAGUGAGCCAAAUAGGAAGCAGAAUCAGCCACUCCCCUGUCAGAAAAGUGAUAUGUAUACAUAUACUUCCCUCAGUCUAAUGGAGAGUUAUCCACUUGUGAUAAAAUACAGCAUAGUCCCCUAACUACCAGUUAAAGGACUAUUCCCAGAAUUCAUGUAGAAAAAAAAUCUUAAUUUACUCACUAGCCAUGCAAAAUAGUGACUUAAUGAACUGAAGAGACAGAGUACCUCUGAUUCUAUGUGUGAUUGUUAAAGCCAAUCUCUAAACAAAUUUACUUCAUUACUCCCUGUGG
ensembl:lncRNA